GGGAGUGGAGUCCGGUCACACGGAUGGGCAGUCCGAAACAUGCUUGGCAUGUGAAAAGGUAGAGGGAAAAUCUCCAAACCCAGAGUUCCCGUUGGACUGGUGGUUGCAGAGAGCCACAUCGCAGACAUGCCGACAUCGCGUGAAACGCCCCCAUUUAAAGAGGAAAUGGGUGGGAUGCGUCAGGACCCCACUCCUGUCACCUGGAGUCUCCGGGUGAAACAUGUAAAGUGCCCGGUUUUGGGUAAGCUCGCCCUCUCGUCUGCGCUGUGGCAGUUCUAACAUUUCAUGUUUAUUUUCUUGUACAUUUUGUCACAGUGUUUAGUAAAUGUGCUGCAGAUGA